UUAUUGGAGAGUUUGAUCCUGGCUCAGGACGAACGCUGGCGGCGUGCCUAAUACAUGCAAGUCGAGCGAUAUCUUU
rnacentral:rRNA from 1 species